AAACCGCUGGAAGGGAAGCGAAUGGAGUUCGCAACGCGCCUUGUCGGAUUCAGCUGCUCCUGUUGCGCGUCGUGCGCUGCCUCGAUCUUUCUUAGACGAGCCUUGUGCGAUCGCGUGACGUGGACGGUGCACUUCCGGCCGGCGAAAGUCAACGUCGGUUUGCCGCCAGAGUUAAAAAGCUGCGAGCACGGUAGGUCCGUCCGGAUCGGUAAGGCUUGCAUGCACAUAUGACUCGCUGCAGACCGAGUGCUGCCGCAGCGCGUACCUCUCUUCGGGGCAGGCUGCUGUCUUUAUCGUUGCACCGGUACAAUGUCACUGGACGGACGGCUUUGCCUGUGCGUCUGCGUGCGGCCGUUCAAACGAUGAGGCAAACAGACACGACGCGCUGAGGACGUUGACCGCCCGGCGACUCCAUCCGACCCGUCUUGAAACACGGACCAAGGAGUCUAACAUGUACGCAAGUCUCAGAGCGAUCGAAACUCGUUGGGCGUAAUGAAAGUGAACGCAGUCUCGGCUGCGGAGAUGAGAGGCUGCCGCAGCGCACCUGUUGCAGCAGCGGCAUCAUCGACCGACCUAUUCUACUCUUGGAAAGGUUUGAGUUAGAGCGUACCUGUCGGGACCCGAAAGAUGGUGAACUAUGCCUGAAUAGGGCGAAGCCAGCGG
rnacentral:rRNA from 1 species